rnacentral:rRNA from 1 species
AUUGAACGCUGGCGGCAUGCUUUACACAUGCAAGUCGAACGGCAGCGCGGGCUUCGGCCUGGCGGCGAGUGGCGAACGGGUGAGUAAUACAUCGGAACGUGCCCAGUAGUGGGGGAUAGCUCGGCGAAAGCCGGAUUAAUACCGCAUACGACCUGAGGGUGAAAGCGGGGGAUCUUCGGACCUCGCGCUAUUGGAGCGGCCGAUGGCAGAUUAGCUAGUUGGUGGGGUAAAGGCCUACCAAGGCGACGAGCUGUAGCUGGUCUGAGAGGACGACCAGCCACACUGGGACUGAGACACGGCCCAGACUCCUACGGGAGGCAGCAGUGGGGAAUUUUGGACAAUGGGCGAAAGCCUGAUCCAGCAAUGCCGCGUGUGUGAUGAAGGCCUUCGGGUUGUAAAGCACUUUUGGCGGGAACGAAAAGGACUGUGCCAAUACCACGGUUCGAUGACGGUACCCGCAGAAUAAGCACCGGCUAACUACGUG